AAUCGAUCAAAUGCCGGGACUAAACAACUAGAGCUAUUUCGCCUUUAUGUACGCAACGAGAUCGGCAAUCUCGGCACGUGUCAGGGAUAGAUUUGGCAU
rnacentral:sRNA from 1 species